rnacentral:tRNA from 2 species
CCUUCGAUAGCUCAGUUGGUAGAGCGGGGGACUGUAGAUUUAUAAUUGUGAUCCCUAGGUCGCUGGUUCGAAUCUGGCUCGAAGAA